rnacentral:lncRNA from 1 species
ACUUGGUAGGUAGAAUGAAUAUUCAAGGAGGUCAAUGUUCGAUUGUUAUAAUGCAAAGUUAAUAUAAGUUUGUGAAGUAGUUUGAAUGGUUCUUUGUAGGGGCAUCACCAUGUUUUGGUAAGGAGACAUAGAUUAAAAGUCUUCAGAUCAAUGACUCCUAAAACCCUAAGAGAUUUUGGCCUACAGACAUUUUUCCAUUUGACCAAACAGUUGGCAUCAUAAUAUGGUUUGUUACCUCUUUAUAAAAUUUCUCUUCUCUUCCUAUCAAUAUGUUGAAUAACCGC